UACACCCACUGUAAUGGUCGCU
rnacentral:miRNA from 1 species